rnacentral:rRNA from 1 species
GACGAACGCUGGCGGCGUGCUUAACACAUGCAAGUCGAACGGAAAGGCCCUGCUUUUGUGGGGUGCUCGAGUGGCGAACGGGUGAGUAACACGUGAGUAACCUGCCCUUGACUUUGGGAUAACUUCAGGAAACUGGGGCUAAUACCGGAUAGGAGCUCCUGCUGCAUGGUGGGGGUUGGAAAGUUUCGGCGGUUGGGGAUGGACUCGCGGCUUAUCAGCUUGUUGGUGGGGUAGUGGCUUACCAAGGCUUUGACGGGUAGCCGGCCUGAGAGGGUGACCGGCCACAUGGGGACUGAGAUACGGCCCAGACUCCUACGGGAGGCAGCAGUGGAGAAUAUUGCACAAUGGGCGGAAGCCUGAUGCAGCAACGCCGCGUGCGGGAUGACGGCCUUCGGGUUGUAAACCGCUGUCGCCUGUGACGAAGCGUGAGUGACGGUAAUGGGUAAAGAAGCACCGGCUAACUACGUG